rnacentral:SRP_RNA from 1 species
UGAGCGGCCAGUGCGACUGCUGGCCUGGCACCCCGUCAGGUCCGGGAGGAAGCAGCGGACCAGGUACAGAGUGUGCGCUGGCCGCUUGAGG